rnacentral:lncRNA from 1 species
GAGCAAACACUUGCAAAAGGUGAGGAAGAUAGCCAUCAUAGCUGAUGGAACAAGCAAAACAAAAGUCAUAAGGAAGAAUUGUACUCGUGUGUUUGAAGACAUCAAGGAAUCCGGGGCGAUAGACAUAGCAAGUGAGGGGAGGGUAUGAGAGGAAUUGGGUGGGAGGCACAGUGGGAGGCCAGGGCAUUUAAGAUGUUGAGGACUUUCGGCUUCAUGCAGCAUAACUGAGUAUAUUUAAGAAAGAAUGCUCAUUGAAUGUUCCCGUUACACCAUGCACUGAGAAGAGAAUAGAAACACACAGAGAGAAGACCAUGUAUGGAGACCAGAAAAAGAUGGCUAUCUCCAAGCCAAGGAGAGAGGCCUCAGGAGAAACAACCCUGCUGACACCUUCUUCUUAGACUACCAGCCUCCUAAAUG